GCGCCGGCACCCGGAUGUGGUAGCGUUGGUUCCCCCCAGCCGCGCCGCGCAGCGCCACGCCGCUCUGCGCGGGGGCCGGCGCGGAGGGGCGGGGAGGCCGGGGCGGCGCGGUGGCGGGGCGGCGCGCUCGGCUGCGGCCGCGCACGGGUGGGAGCAGGUAGCAGGCGGUGGCGGCGGCCGGGUGACUGCGCGAGUGCUGCCGCCGCCGCGGCCAGCACCGGCCCUGUCGCUGAGGGGCCCCCGGCGGCGGGUGUCACUCGGGGCCGAGGUAGCGCCGAGACGGCCCCAGCGAGGCGGCGGGUGGCUCUGGUGCCGUAUUGCCUCGCGCCGCCGCUUUCUUUUCAGUAGGAUGAAGAGCAAGAUCAAUUCUCACUUUUGGGGAAGAACUUGGAAGAACUUGUGCAAGUGUGAUUCAAGACAUUGGCUUGCAUCCCCAUCUGCAGCGUGAGUGCCUUAGCAGUGAAAGACUCAGCACACAGCAAAUGUUACCCUUAAGUGGUGUUUUCUGUCUGAGAGCAAGGCAUGCUUUAUUAGCACAGUAAAUGUAUUAGUGAAGACUAAAAGAAUAACAACUGGAACAUUGAGAGCCAUAUUCCCAGCAGGUAUAUGAUGUAUAAGCACUUAAAAGAAACCAAGACAGUUUACGUAUUCUAAUGAGGUGACUGAGUCAUGAACUUACAGAGCUAUUCUCUCAUGUUUCCAAGACUGUUGGACACUCCCUCAGAUCAUCUCAGUAAACAUGCAGAAGAAUGCUUCCAGAGAUGACGUAAAGACAUUUGUAUAUGUCAGACAUACAUGUAUACGUGCAACUUCAAGAAGUCUGUAUUGGUGACAAAUUCUAAGGACUUCAAGAUACAGGUGAGCUCUGAUGCUUCUGCAGCUUACUUUGAAUAUACCAUAAACAAGAAGGAAAUGAAGACUGUGUCUUAAUUAACCGGUUGGCUCCUGGGAAGAAGCUGAUAGUGCUUACCUCGGAUGCAAAUGAACUGUCAACUGUUUGUAAAUUCACCUAUUUCAGAAACAUGCUGAUUGACCAUGCACGUACCAAUGUGAUGAACUCCUGCAUCUGGAAACCAGUAUGGUCUUUGGCAGGCUCCCAGAUUAUUAAAGACCUUUUAUUAAAGGCCUGUGGAGCAUUGUGACUAACAGCUUACGUCACUAGGCUGUAUGGACUUGCAUGGUAGAGAGAGGGCACAGUCUGUUGCUCAAGAGAAUGCACUGAAGUUUCCUGCAUAUUCAGCUCAGCUCAGCUAGUGUAGUAGUGUAGUGUAGACAACUAUUAAAGGUUUGCAGCAUAUGUUGGUUGUUGAAGUAUGAAUUGGGAGGACUCUGCAACAUUAGUCCAGGCAACUAGUGUGAGUAAUAACACACACAUAUUUAUGUGGCUGUUGCAUGUUGAGUUAGAGCAUGGCAAAAAAAGAGAGGCAAGGCUGUGUUAAGUGUUCUACAAGUUGACUACUGUGCUGGUACCACUGGUUUGCAACAGAAGGUGAAUAACGAUGCUACACCAGCAAGCUAGAGAAUGUAAGGCAAAAUGAAUGAAUGCCAGCAGCACUAUGCAAUGGAAACACGAGCCCUGGAAAAGAGGUUGUGCAAUGGCCUCCUUAGUCAUUCCCAUGCCUAUUUGCAUCUUUGUCCUGCCACUGUCAUCUUGGACCAAAGGACACACAAAGGCAAUAGAAACAAUUAAAAUAUACACAGAAAUCUACUGUUUCUAAUGAAAAUAUGUUUAUUACUUAUUAUCUGUUGACCUAUUUGCAUAUUACUCUCAUCUUCCUAUAAGGCACUUCACUGUCUUUGUUGUGUAACACUGAUGAUACACAGUCCGUUUCUAAAACGUUUGCAGUUAAGCAUCCAUCUGUCUUUUUCAUUAGAUAGAGGCCCCUUCAAUAAAAAGAAAUUACCCCAGAGAAGUAUUUAGGGAGCAUGUUAACACUCCCUUUUUGUUUUCAAAUUUACUUUCUUUAUUUUCAGCUGUGUCUUCAGUACCUAGAGUCAGGUCAUCCUAGCAGCACAAUCUGACUGAUUUGGCUCCAGCUAACCCUGUACGUUUAUCACUGUCUCAAGGAAUAAUUUAUUUUUCUGCUUAUCCAAAUCAUCUUUGGCCAGUGUAGGCACUUAAUUAAUUUUGUUCUUACAUUGUGCUAAAAAUGCACAGUUCUCUUUGGUUCAUGCAGGCUGUCAAUUUACUCUGCUUUCUAUGUUCCGUUAUACUUGAGCCUGGGCCAGCUCAAUGUUAAGAGCAGAGGUAUUCCAACCCUUUGCAUCUACUCUCCCAACUUCGUGCUUUAGUUAGAGUAGCAUUCUCAGUUUUCCUGAACCCUUUAAAUUAAUCUCUUGUGCAAACAAAACAGGCAGUUUUGGUGGAAGAGUGUUUCUUCUUUGUUCAUGAUUUUCCGGUGUAAAAUGCAUAAACAGUCCUAGGAGCAGCAUUCAUAACCCCAGGAUUCCUCCCUUCCAAGAGGAUACUCUGUUAGCUGCAGCUCCUCCUGGCAUUUACGUUCCUUUUGGAAAAAAAAUCAGCAGGUGGAAAAUAGGUUGUCUUUCCCUGACGUUUUCCUGAGGAUUGUGUCUACUUGUUAGGUGGAAGGUUGAGUUUCUGAAUUAAAAUUCUUGUUUUCUUAUCAUGGCUAAGUACUGCCAGGGGUAGACAGCCAUUGAAUGAGUUGUUUUGAAGUGCAGUUUUGCACUCUAAGGCUCCUAAAAUCAACAUCUCUCCUACUUUGGAGCUGAUCUUUUGUCAGUUUCUUCCAUUCCUAACUAAUGAUAUUUUUAUGUAUACUUUCUUGUGUAGGAAUUCAUCUUUCACUUGAACUAGUGAUUUUGGGGGGUUUUGAUCUUUGUGUAUAUAGCGAGAACACCUGUGGAAUUGCUGGCGAGGAGUCAGUGACUGGCAGAGUACAUGGUAGCAGGCCCAGUGUGUGAAACUACACACUGACUGAAUUCCCAUCAGGGCCAGGCAUGCAUAUUCUGUUUUGUCAACAAUGUCUAGCUGCUUCCUGUACAGUAGUUUCUCAAGGUUAGCGUAGCUGAGAUAAGGAAAUAGUUCUAGUAGAUUUAAGGGGCCCUUAGGAUACAAUGAGUCGAAUCCUGCCUUGGCGUCCGACCUGUGCAUCCAGCAGCCUCCCAUUGGUUACCCCUCCGCACGGUUCCUGAGGCUCCCCAUGCAGUUUGGAGUGUAGGUCCUUUAUUAAAUCUGUCCUGUUUAACCCCUCAUGAACCUUGAGUGUCUCUCUCUGCUGGUAUCCGACCCUCUCUUGCCCGCCUUAUGGUCACAGCGUAUUUAUAAUAAAAUGGUUAUUCAGAUACUACUAGUAGAAGUAAAACAUUAAAAAUGAAGUACAAUAGGAACAUAAUAAAUUUGAUAUGUAUUUGCAACAUUUGUUUGCUUAAUAUGUUGUGGCUGUUUCUUUAGAUGCCAAAGCUAAAUUACAAACAAUAGUUCUAAGGAAUUUCCAGUUUUAGCUUGGAUUUAGGCCACUACUUCAAGAUGUAAUUAACCCUAUGUUCCCUUCAAUGCCAUCUGCGCACCUACUUUAGAACAUGCAUAAGCUUAAGCUACAUCAGUAGGUAUGCUUAACCGAACUGGUAAUAUGAUAUACUUGCCAUCAAUACAAAACUUGCGUUAUUACUUGCAUUAUGUCAUUUUGCCUCUGCAAUUAGAUUUAAUAGGUACUUGAAACAUAUUAAUGCAGAAUCAUUUAAGCACAGAAUAUCUGAGGUUUGAAGGGACCUCUGGAGGUCAUCUGGUCCAACCCUCCACUCAGAGUUAGAGUUGUAAGUUCAAAUUACUCAGUCACAUCCAGUUUUUAAAUAUCUCUAAAGAUGGAGAUUCUGCAACUUUUUUUUUUGCAUUACUACAAUAUUAAAUUACAAUUUCAUGUCCCACAUGCUGCAUUUUUCCAUUUUCUCCAUUUUACAUUAACAGUAAGCCUAUCCUAAGUAAGAAUUAAAGCCUUAGACAUACAAUGCUAAUACAGCCAGAAUAAGUUUUAAACAAAGUGAAGCUUUUAUCCAUAUAUAAAAAACAUGCACUGAUACUUGACAUCACUGAAUAAUUAAUAUUGUUUCAUAUGUAUUUAUCAUACUUAUUUUAUGGUGUUUAGCCAAGUAUAAUACAAGUGCUGCUUCUAACAGUGUCACUUUGAGACCUGGAUAACAGAGCGAAAUAAAAUGUGAAAUACAAUCCGUCUCCAUUAAAAGGCAGCAAAAUAUUAUAAGUGAAAUCAACACAAGCUUUAUAAAAUAGUCAAAUUAAGGUGAAGUAUGAAUGUCUGCCAAGUGAGGAAGGAUUUUCUUGAACUAAACGAAUUAAAGCCAAAAUAUGAUGUACAAAACUAAUUUAUCCAUUCUUAAACACAAUUAUAGUGCUGCAAUUUUGAAAAGGUCUUUCAAAUAUAAUGAUCUGUUUAUAUAUAGUAUUUUGUACAAAGUGUAGCAUUUCAGACAGAGGAUCUUUUGUCAAUGAGGCAGUUUAAGUGACUACCCACUACAAGAAAAAAAAUGCUUACAUAUUUUAUUACUGUCAUUGUAAUUACAACGCAUUAGUUAGAAGGGGAUUACAAUUGUACAGUAGUUUAACAAUUUAGACGAAUACUCAUUUAGUCUACAGGAACAUUAGUCUUUCAUUAAAAAUGGCUAGUAUUUCACUGGUAUUUUUUCCUGUUACUUUAAAUUAAUGAAUUGCAUGAACUGCAAGGCUAAGAAAGCAAUCAAACAGGUUAUCCCUUUAGUGAUGUCGGAUCCAAUGUUAUCAUUUUCCUGUGAAUAUAGACACUUCUUGCAACCAAGAAUCCAGAAUUACUAAUGCUAAAUACAUAUUUUAAUUUCCUAAUAAGCUCAGCUGAGCAGGACAAUUCCAGAUUUCAAGACAGUUUGAAGAUUUCCUAUAAAAACAAGAGUAUUCAGAGUAUAUGGUUUUAACUUAAUUCCAAGUGUAUUAAACAGUAUCCUGCCCUCUGUGAAAUAGUAGGUUAAAUGCAAGGAUGGGUGAGACUUUCCAGAGUAAGUUUCAGCUAAUACCCCUAAAUUUAAGAAAAACAUAAGCUCUGCUCUAUAUUUGAAAUUAACGAGGCAAAUAAUUGUGUAAGAGGAAGCAAAUGGGUAACAAGGCCAAAUGGGGGGAAGAAGCCUAAAAUGAGCAGAACAGGUUCUAUACUUACUAAAGUCAAGGAGUCUGACUCCCACUCUUCACAUUUUUUUAGAUUCUGUCCCAUGAUGCUAGCCAGUAAGCUUCUUUAGAUUAGGAUUUAGAUCGAACUGGUAACUUACGCUAAGACAUUUUGAAACCCUAACUGAGGCAAUUAUUUAUUAAUUAUAUCAUUUAUAGCACAUAUCCAAGUAGAUGGUAAGGCCAAAAAGACACUUUCUGAGAAACAGUAGGAGAAAGUUAUUUGGGGCAGAGUCCUGUCUCUCUAGGCAAAACUUACAGGGUUAGAGAUUAUCUUCAUUUUAUGAACUGGAAAUUGAGAUGCACGCACAAAAAAGCCAUGCUAUUUUAACUAUACAAGUGUCUGGUAUGAUUUCUACUGCUUCAUAUAGUUAUGUCUAAUUUAGGAUCGUUUUAUUAUCUGUUCUUUCUGUCCAUUUUGAGUUAAUAUUCUAGACAGACAACUGUACCGGAAGCUAUUCAGUUUGCAUUGGAUGAUACAGCUUUUUUCCUUUACCUGUAAAGAAAGUAGCUCUACUCUAACAAUUCUGAGGCAUUGUAUAGAAGUAUUGUGGUAGAAUUAGCAUGCUGUUAGCCAGCGCAGUCACAGGGUACAAACCUGCAUAUAGACAAGAGCCAUUUGUCCCAAAUUACCCAGGAGGCUUCAGACAGAAGUAGAAAUUUAGAGCUCUGAAUCCCUGUCAGAUUCAUGAGAUUUUUUUUUUCUUUUUCUCUUUAUCGUAAUAAGUCUCACUUUGUUUUUGGUUUCCCUCAGAGCAAAAAGUGUGUUGCUUUUUACUGAGGUUAAGUAGCCCUUGGACUGUGAAAUUUUUAAGGCAAAAAUGACAGCUAAUGUUUUGGAAAGCACUCCAGCUCUUGUGUAGUCUAAAUAAUAAAUACUAAACUGCA